rnacentral:rRNA from 1 species
UUUUUGGAGAGUUUGAUCCUGGCUCAGGACGAACGCUGGCGGCGUGCCUAAUACAUGCAAGUCGAGCGCGGGAAACGUCCGGAUCCUUUCGGGGUGAAGG